rnacentral:rRNA from 1 species
GGUUAAGCGACUAAGCGUACACGGUGGAUGCCCUGGCAGUCAGAGGCGAUGAAGGACGUGCUAAUCUGCGAAAAGCGUCGGUAAGGUGAUAUGAACCGUUACAGCCGGCGAUGUCCGAAUGGGGAAACCCAGUGCAAUUCGUUGCACUAUCGUUAACUGAAUACAUAGGUUAACGAGGCGAACCGGGGGAACUGAAACAUCUAAGUACCCCGAGGAAAAGAAAUCAACCGAGAUUCCCCCAGUAGCGGCGAGCGAACGGGGAGCAGCCCAGAGUCUGAAUCAGCUUGUGUGUUAGUGGAACGGUCUGGAAAGUCCGACGGUACAGGGUGAUAGUCCCGUACACCAAAAUGCACAGGCUGUGAACUCGAAGAGUAGGGCGGGACACGUGGUAUCCUGUCUGAAUAUGGGGGGACCAUCCUCCAAGGCUAAAUACUCCUGACUGACCGAUAGUGAACCAGUACCGUGAGGGAAAGGCGAAAAGAACCCCGGCGAGGGGAGUGAAAAAGAACCUGAAACCGUGUACGUACAAGCAGUGGGAGCACCUUCGGGUGUGACUGCGUACCUUUUGUAUAAUGGGUCAGCGACUUAUAUUCUGUAGCAAGGUUAACCGUAUAGGGGAGCCGCAGGGAAACCGAGUCUUAACUGGGCGUUAAGUUGCAGGGUAUAGACCCGAAACCCGGUGAUCUAGCCAUGGGCAGGUUGAAGGUUGGGUAACACUAACUGGAGGACCGAACCGACUAAUGUUGAAAAAUUAGCGGAUGACUUGUGGCUGGGGGUGAAAGGCCAAUCAAACCGGGAGAUAGCUGGUUCUCCCCGAAAGCUAUUUAGGUAGCGCCUCGUGAACUCAUCUUCGGGGGUAGAGCACUGUUUCGGCUAGGGGGUCAUCCCGACUUACCAACCCGAUGCAAACUACGAAUACCGAAGAAUGUUAUCACGGGAGACACACGGCGGGUGCUAACGUCCGUCGUGAAGAGGGAAACAACCCAGACCGCCAGCUAAGGUCCCAAAGUCACAGUUAAGUGGGAAACGAUGUGGGAAGGCACAGACAGCCAGGAUGUUGGCUUAGAAGCAGCCAUCAUUUAAAGAAAGCGUAAUAGCUCACUGGUCGAGUCGGCCUGCGCGGAAGAUGUAACGGGGCUAAACUGUGCACCGAAGCUGCGGCAGCGACACUAUGUGUUGUUGGGUAGGGGAGCGUUCUGUAAGCCUGCGAAGGUGGCCUGUGAGGGUUGCUGGAGGUAUCAGAAGUGCGAAUGCUGACAUAAGUAACGAUAAUGCGGGUGAAAAGCCCGCACGCCGGAAGACCAAGGGUUCCUGUCCAACGUUAAUCGGGGCAGGGUGAGUCGACCCCUAAGGCGAGGCCGAAAGGCGUAGUCGAUGGGAAACAGGUUAAUAUUCCUGUACUUGGUGUUACUGCGAAGGGGGGACGGAGAAGGCUAUGUUAGCCGGGCGACGGUUGUCCCGGUUUAAGCAUGUAGGCGGAGGUUCCAGGUAAAUCCGGUACCUUUUUAACGCUGAGGUGUGAUGACGAGGCACUACGGUGCUGAAGUAACAAAUGCCCUGCUUCCAGGAAAAGCCUCUAAGCAUCAGGUAACAUUGAAUCGUACCCCAAACCGACACAGGUGGUCAGGUAGAGAAUACCAAGGCGCUUGAGAGAACUCGGGUGAAGGAACUAGGCAAAAUGGUGCCGUAACUUCGGGAGAAGGCACGCUGAUAUGUAGGUGAAGCCCCUGCGGGUGGAGCUGAAAUCAGUCGAAGAUACCAGCUGGCUGCAACUGUUUAUUAAAAACACAGCACUGUGCAAACACGAAAGUGGACGUAUACGGUGUGACGCCUGCCCGGUGCCGGAAGGUUAAUUGAUGGGGUUAUCCGUAAGGAGAAGCUCUUGAUCGAAGCCCCGGUAAACGGCGGCCGUAACUAUAACGGUCCUAAGGUAGCGAAAUUCCUUGUCGGGUAAGUUCCGACCUGCACGAAUGGCGUAAUGAUGGCCAGGCUGUCUCCACCCGAGACUCAGUGAAAUUGAACUCGCUGUGAAGAUGCAGUGUACCCGCGGCAAGACGGAAAGACCCCGUGAACCUUUACUAUAGCUUGACACUGAACAUUGAGCCUUGAUGUGUAGGAUAGGUGGGAGGCUUUGAAGCGUGGACGCCAGUCUGCGUGGAGCCAACCUUGAAAUACCACCCUUUAAUGUUUGAUGUUCUAACGUUGGCCCCUGACCGGGGUUGCGGACAGUGUCUGGUGGGUAGUUUGACUGGGGCGGUCUCCUCCCAAAGAGUAACGGAGGAGCACGAAGGUUAGCUAAUCCUGGUCGGACAUCAGGAGGUUAGUGCAAUGGCAUAAGCUAGCUUGACUGCGAGCGUGACGGCGCGAGCAGGUGCGAAAGCAGGUCAUAGUGAUCCGGUGGUUCUGAAUGGAAGGGCCAUCGCUCAACGGAUAAAAGGUACUCCGGGGAUAACAGGCUGAUACCGCCCAAGAGUUCAUAUCGACGGCGGUGUUUGGCACCUCGAUGUCGGCUCAUCACAUCCUGGGGCUGAAGUAGGUCCCAAGGGUAUGGCUGUUCGCCAUUUAAAGUGGUACGCGAGCUGGGUUUAGAACGUCGUGAGACAGUUCGGUCCCUAUCUGCCGUGGGCGCUGGAGAAUUGAGGGGGGCUGCUCCUAGUACGAGAGGACCGGAGUGGACGCAUCACUGGUGUUCGGGUUGUCAUGCCAAUGGCAUUGCCCGGUAGCUAAAUGCGGAAGAGAUAAGUGCUGAAAGCAUCUAAGCACGAAACUUGCCCCGAGAUGAGUUCUCCCUGACUCCUUGAGAGUCCUGAAGGAACGUUAAAGACGAUGACGUUGAUAGGUCGGGUGUGUAAGCGUAGCGAUACGUUGAGCUAACCGAUACUAAUGAACCGUGAGGCUUAACCUU